ACUAGGUAAUCUGACUGCAGGAAAGGACUCCAGGUAAUAAUGAUACAAUAUGAAUAACAUUCCACCAUGAGGUCACUAGGUAAUCUGACUGCAGGAAAGGACUCCAGGUAAUAAUGAUACAAUAUGAAUAACAUUCCACCAUGAGGUCACUAGGUAAUCUGACUGCCAGGAAAGGACUCCAGGUAAUAAUGAUACAAUAUGAAUAACAUUCCACCAUGAGG